rnacentral:rRNA from 1 species
UACGUAGGUGGCGAGCGUUGUCCGGAAUUACUGGGCGUAAAGGGUGCGUAGGCGGCUCUUUAAGUGGGAUGUGAAAUCCCUGGGCUCAACCCAGGAACUGCAUUCCAAACUGGAGAGCUAGAGUGCAGGAGAGGAAAGCGGAAUUCCCAGUGUAGCGGUGAAAUGCGUAGAGAUUGGGAGGAACACCAGUGGCGAAGGCGGCUUUCUGGACUGUAACUGACGCUGAGGCACGAAAGCGUGGGGAGCAAACAGG